GCAAUGAAACACCAGCUUUCGUACGAUCAUCGAAGUUAAGCAACGUUCAGACUGGCCAGUAUCUAGAUGGGUGACCGUUUGUGAAUACCGCGUGCCGUAUG